rnacentral:rRNA from 1 species
UCCAGACUCCUACGGGAGGCAGCAGUGGGGAAUAUUGCACAAUGGGGGAAACCCUGAUGCAGCGACGCCGCGUGAGCGAUGAAGUAUUUCGGUAUGUAAAGCUCUAUCAGCAGGGAAGAAGAUGACGGUACCUGACUAAGGAGCCCCGGCUAACUACGUGUCAGCAGCCGCGGUAAUACGUAGGGGGCAAGCGUUAUCCGGAUUUACUGGGUGUAAAGGGAGCGUAGACGGCGAUGCAGGCCAGAUGUGAAAGCCCGGGGCUCAACCCCGGAACUGCUUUGGAAACUGUGCAGCUCGAGUGCAGGAGAGGGAAGCGGAAUUCCUAGUGUAGCGGGGAAAUGCGUAGAUAUUAGGAGGAACACCAGUGGCGAAGGCGGCUUACUGGACUGUAACU